CUUGUCUUGUAUUGUGAUUAGACUUUGGUGAUUUUUUAUGACUAGAUUUAAAUAUAGUGACAUUGCAGUAUUAUACUUUAAGUACUAGUACUGCUUAAGUCCACACUAGGGAACAUCUUCGCCUUGUUUUACGAUCUUUUACGGUAUUAAUGAUUCUUUAAAAGUAUUGUUGAAGACCAUUCGGCAACUAUCAAGAUGAAGAACAGAAACACAAACUUUG
rnacentral:lncRNA from 1 species